CUUUGCGAUGGAGAACUGUGAGUGUUUCGUCUAAUCUGGGAUUAGACGGCUUAGUUAAACACGAACUGUGGCGAACAAUUGGAUAGACAUUACAAAGAAGACUGAAAGAAACAGCUGAUGUUCAAAUACAUACUGACGCUAAGCAGGAAGAAUCAUUUCCAUCACAACUUCCAAAGAGUUUCUUCUAGCAUACCAACAGGGCAUAAUGCACUGCAUGAUGAAACUGAGAACUUCUGGUUGAUGUAAGAAACCAAUAAGUACAAGUAAAUCAUGAUGAACACAACUCUUGAGGUGAAUCCUCAAGAAGUGAGGCUGAUACUACACAAAAGGAUCCAUGUUACCCAUUACAAUUAGCAGCUGUUUUCUUUUUCAACCCAGAGGGCUUAGACUUGAGCAUACCAGCACCACAGGCAAGAAGAUUUUUGUGUCUUAAGUGCAUGGCAACUAGACACUUUGCAGGAGUGAUACAAGUACGAAGUGCGGACCUAUUUUUAAUAUGUCAAAUGUCUAUUUCUUGUGGCUGUACAGAUAAAUAAGUUUGUCAUCGAGGAACCUUGACUUCGAAUAUUACGAACAUAUUUUACGAUAGACAAGUGAGUAAACUAAUUAGAUUUUGAUUGCAACUAGUUUAAAAACCUUAUUUAAUGUUGUAAACAACUGCGGAGAGACCGUUCUCUGAGAAAUGAUGGUGAAAACUGGCUUAGAUUUGCAUUUGUUUGGUUCCCUUAAGGGACGAACAAUGAAAAUAAUAUGAAAAUAAAGAAUCUACAGGUAUGAACUUUGACUUACACAUCCUUUUUCUCAUUCGCCUUUGACGUGGAUGUACUAGCCAUUCGUAUACAGACAUUUCUUGUUACAAAUAAAGAUGUAUUUCUUGGACAUAAAUUGAAAUAAUGUUUCAAAGGUGAAAGAGUUGUUGAAGAACAAAACUUGCGUAAUACGCGAGCAGCCAUUUUAAUCAAAGAGACCGAGAAUUAUAUACGAAGACUGGGAACGACAUUUUGGAAUCAAUCAGCGUUGCGUUGUUCGU